CAAUGGACUUCCACUGGAUUGAGACCAUCCUGAGUGAUAAGAAGCGGGUGCGAAAGGGUUUCUGGAAACAGCCUCCCCUCAUCUGGGAUGUCAAUCCUAAACAGAUUCGGAUUCUCAACCCCUUCUUCAUGGAGAUUGCAGCUGACAAACUGCUGAGCCUGCCAAUGCAACAGCCACGGAAGAUUAAGCAGAUGGAGAACGUUUCCGUGACUGCAGGAAGUUCCACUGCAGAGCGCUGGCAGAGAUGAUGGUGGGAGGAGCAGGGCUCCCACUAACACCCUCCUGCCCCUGUUCCUCAGAAGCCCACCACGGGCCUGUUGGCCAUCACGCUGGCCCUCCACCUCUGUGACUUGGUGCACAUUGCCGGCUUUGGCUACCCAGACGCCUACAACAAGAAGCAGACCAUUCACUACUAUGAGCAGAUCACGCUCAAGUCCAUGGCGGGGUCAGGCCAUAAUGUCUCCCAAGAGGCCCUGGCCAUUAAGCGGAUGCUGGAGAUGGGAGCUAUCAAGAACCUCACGUCCUUCUGACCUGGGCAAGAGCUGUAGCCUGUCGGUUGCCUACUCUGCUGUCUGGGUGACCCCCAUGCGUGGCUGUGGGGGUGGCUGGUGCCAGUAUGACCCACUUGGACUCACCCCCUCUUGGGGAGGGAGUUCUGGGCCUGGCCAGGUCUGAGAUGAGGCCAUGCCCCUGGCUGCUCUUAUGGAGCCGAGAUCCAGUCAGGGUGGGGGCGCUGGAGCCGUGGGAGCCCGGCCAGGGCAGGGGGCUCGUUGCUGUGGCACCCCCUCUCUGCCAGCACCAAGAGAUUAUUUAAUGGGCUAUUUAAUUAAGGGGUAGGAAGGUGCUGUGGGCUGGUCCCACACAUCCAGGAAAGAGGCCAGUAGAGAAUUCUGCCCACUUUUUAUAAAAACUUACAGCGAUGGCCCCACCAAGGCCUAGACACGGCACUGGCCUCCCAGGAGGGCAGGGGCAUUGGGAAUGGGUGGGUGCCCUCCAGAGAGGGGCUGCUACCUCCCAGCAGGCAUGGGAAGAGCACU
rnacentral:lncRNA from 1 species